rnacentral:lncRNA from 1 species
CAAACGAGUCUUACCCUGUACUAAGUGUUUUUCAGAGGAAGAGGCACGCUUCUCUCUGAUACUCCGUAGUGUAUAUAGACACCCGUGUGCAGUGGAUUGCACUGGGAUGGGGAAGGGGAGCACGCCGGGCUGCGCUGCCGGAGAAGCUGGGGUUCCGCAGAAGCUCCUGGCAGCACUUCUUGGAAAUAACUCCCUUGCAUGAUCCCCAGGAGAGCCUAGCAGGGAGACGAGAGUGACAGCGUGCGCGGAAGACUGCCCGCUGAAGCAACAGCCUUUGUGCCCAGAGGUGCUGAUAAUCCCCAGAGGAGGCUGAAGAGCUGUUUUCCUAUGCAUUACGUAGUGCGUUCCCAGUCUGUGCACAAGAAAUUGUUUGCCACUGCUAAACUCCAACCACUUCUGCAUCCAACACCUGAAUAUUUUGUGUGUAUUCGACUUGCUGAAGUGACCCUUGGUUUAGUCAUUAAUGUGUAUUAUAUGAAACUGUAAAUAGACUUUUUAAAUGAAAAUACUGUGUUGCUUUUAGCCUUUUUUUUUUCCCCUUGACCAUAUGAAAAUUAAAGAAUGCUGUGUUCUCUUUAACUGUCCUGUUUUUUAAUUAAAACAUAAUAUAGUACUUUUUACAUCAUAUUACAACUUAUUAAAAAUUACAAGUCCUGUCAUUAUUGUUUUGUUGUACAGUCUCUGAUUUACUCUCUGUAACACGGAGUUCUUCAGUAUGAUGUUGAAUUAGAUGCGAAGCAGAGCGGUUAACAUGCCAAGAGUUAAUAGCUGUUACUGACUCGUCUGUUCCGGCUUGGUUUUUGCCCGUGAUCCUUCACAACUGGAAGGAUUCCCUGCCCCGAUGUACGUGUGUGUGUAUGUAGGCAGACUACUGGGGUCAUGCAAAGGGUGCAGAUCUUGGAAUAAUGAAAAUUGUCUAAAAUCCUUGUACAUAAAUAAAGAUAUAGUAUAAAUACUGGUACUGUUGAAG